rnacentral:lncRNA from 1 species
UUGGUUUGCCUUGGAAACCCUAAUUCAUCUGGGUAUCUUGUGUAACUUCUUCAAAACGUUUCUUCAACAAUUGAUCAAAUAUUUCAAGGGAUCCUUCAAAUUUCAUAAUCUUAUGCAUAUAUGAUCCUCCAUGAGUCCCAAAAGUCAAGAGAAUGGAAAGCUAGCAAGUUGGUUCAUGGUGGUUGACUAGAGGAGUUCAAC